CUCGUAGGCGGUUCGUCGCGUCCGGUGUGAAAGUCCAUCGCUUAACGGUGGAUCCGCGCCGGGUACGGGCGGGCUUGAGUGCGGUAGGGGAGACUGGAAUUCCCGGUGUAACGGUGGAAUGUGUAGAUAUCGGGAAGAACACCAAUGGCGAAGGCAGGUCUCUGGGCCGUUACUGACGCUGAGGAGCGAAAGCGAGGGGAGCGAACA
rnacentral:rRNA from 1 species